CUUGCUCUCUGGGUGACGAGCGGCGGACGGGUGAGUAAUGUCUGGGAAACUGCCUGAUGGAGGGGGAUAACUACUGGAAACGGUAGCUAAUACCGCAUAACGUCUUCGGACCAAAGUGGGGGACCUUCGGGCCUCACGCCAUCAGAUGUGCCCAGAUGGGAUUAGCUAGUAGGUGGGGUAAUGGCUCACCUAGGCGACGAUCCCUAGCUGGUCUGAGAGGAUGACCAGCCACACUGGAACUGAGACACGGUCCAGACUCCUACGGGAGGCAGCAGUGGGGAAUAUUGCACAAUGGGCGCAAGCCUGAUGCAGCCAUGCCGCGUGUGUGAAGAAGGCCUUCGGGUUGUAAAGCACUUUCAGCGAGGAGGAAUGGUGGUGUGUUAAUAGCGCAUCACAUUGACGUUACUCGCAGAAGAAGCACCGGCUAACUCCGUGC
rnacentral:rRNA from 1 species